rfam:Schistosoma rodhaini strain Burundi genome assembly, scaffold: SROB_scaffold0002031
AUCCGGGUGACUAGUCCCAAAUAGGACGAAACGCGCGUUCUGGAU